rnacentral:rRNA from 1 species
CCAAAACUGCUUAUCCUAGAGUAUGGGAGAGGUAGAUGGAAUUUCUGGUGUAGGGGUAAAAUCCGUAGAGAUCAGAAGGAAUACCGAUCGCGAAGGCGAUCUACUGGAACAUUACUGACGCUGAGAUGCGAAAGCGUGGGGAGCAAACAGGAUUAGAUACCCUGGUAGUCCACGCCCUAAACGAUGCACACUAGUUGUUGCUAUGCUAGACAUAGCAGUAAUGCAGUUAACACAGUAAGUGUGCCGCCUGGGGAGUACGGUCGCAAGAUUAAAACUCAAAGGAAUAGACGGGGACCCGCACAAGCGGUGGAGCAUGUGGUUUAAUUCGACGAUACGCGAAGAACCUUACCUGGCCUUGACAUAGAAAGAACUUUCCAGAGACGGAUUGGUGCUAGUUUACUAGAGCUUUCAUACAGGUGCUGCACGGCUGUCGUCAGCUCGUGUCGUGAGAUGUUGGGUUAAGUCCCGCAACGAGCGCAACCCUCGUGUUUAGUUACUAACAGUUCGGCUGAGGACUCUAAACAGACUGCCUGGGUAACCAGGAGGAAGGUGAGGACGACGUCAAGUCAUCAUGGCCCUUACGGCCAGGGCUACACACGUGCUACAAUGGGGUAUACAAAGAGCUGCAAUACGGUGACGUGGAGCAAAUCUCAUAAAAUAUCUCCCAGUUCGGAUUGAAGUCUGCAACUCGACUUCAUGAAGUUGGAAUCGCUAGUAAUCGUAGAUCAGCAAUGCUACGGUGAAUACGUUCCCGGGUCUUGUACUCACCGCCCGUCACACCAUGGGAAUUGAAUUCAUUCGAAGCGGGGAUGCUAAAAUAGCUACCUUCCACAGUGGAUUUAGUAACUAGGGUGAAGUCGUAACAAGGUA